CAGCCGCCGCGUUAAUACGGAGGGGGCUAGCGUUGUUCGGAAUUACUGGGCGUAAAGCGCACGUAGGCUGCUUUGUAAGUCAGAGGUGAAAGCCCGGGGCUCAACCCCGGAUGUGCCUUUGAGACUGCAGGGCUAGAACGUCGGAGAGGUGAGUGGAAUUCCGAGUGUAGAGGUGAAAUUCGUAGAUAUUCGGAAGAACACCAGUGGCGAAGGCGGCUCACUGGACGACUGUUGACGCUGAGGUGCGAAAGCGUGGGGAGCAAACAGGAUUAGAUACCCGAGUAGUCCCUGUCUCUUAUAA
rnacentral:rRNA from 1 species